ACCUCACCCCAAUAUUUCAUUCCCUAAUUCCUAACCCUAAUCAAAAGACAUCAGCGCCUCUGUCCCCUUCCUUGUCCCCUUCUCCAUAUUUAGAAAACCUUCAAGCUUUUGCACCUUCCAGUAAAAAGAUGCCAUACUAUUUUUGUGUAAGUGUUGUCUCUUUCUUCCCUCUUCCAUAUUUGUGCUUGAUGACCCGUGUUAAAAUGGGUAUAACAGUGGGGAUUCGCACAUAGUCGACCUUUCAUGAGAGGUUCGGACGCAGGGCCCUUACAGGGAGAGUGAGGAAAGCAAGGGCCCCUCCGUUAGCUUUUUGUCAGCCGGACGCAUCUGCUCACCCUAUCGCGGUACCCAUUACCCGACCUUCAUCGAGGGCUGUUUCAGUUGAGUCUGGGGCCUUGGUUACUCCUGUGAGGGCCGCUUCUCAGGACGAGGUUCCGACCGAUGUCAUUCGCCCAACAGGUGAAUCACCGUCUACUAGGGAAGAGGAGGCGCCGUCGAAGAGACGGAGAGUGGAAUUUGAGACGGUGCCCCCAACAGUAAUUCAUCUGGACGACUCUCCCCCGAUAGGCUCUGGAGAGGGUGUAGUUGCGGCUCCCCCCAUGGGGACGGAAUAGACCGUCGGAAUUGUCGGUGUCUAUGACUAUCAAUCAAAUAUUCAUGUCGUUGCCUUGGCUCAAUCAGAAAUCCCUACUAUUGUCGGUGACCAACAAACUGUCGUGGUGGAGAAUCAAACUUCUGGGGCCGCCGUCAUGAUUUAGGACGUACCCUCAUCUUCUGCAGAGGGGCGUGUUUCCUCUUCAGCAGCAGAACGGGGAAAAGGCGUGGUGGUCAAUGACUAUGAAUCUGAGUCGGACCUGGACCCCGAUGAUGUCAGGAUGUUUGAGGAGGGCCUUACUCAUUCGGUGGUUCAUGCGAGGGGCUCGGCCCGUAUUCUUCAGAUCCCUUCCGACGUCAAUCCCUUGGGAGAAGGUGAGGAUCUGGUGCCGCAAUUUAGCCUGCUAUGCUCCGAAGCCGAAAAUGAGGCCCUUCAGUCUGUUCCUAAUGCUGAUUUGAUGGACGAGGUGGCCGCUAUGGGCUUAAGGAAGUGGAAAGCAUUUGUAGGGCCAACAUCCGGGCCAAAAUUUUCUUGAAGAUGCUGGAGAAGUAUCGUCGAUACCGCGACAGGUGUCGCGAGAUGCAUGAGCGGCUGAGGACAAACCCCAGUAAUCGGGCAAUUGGUGAGGAGUUGGAGAAAAGGGACCAGAAAUUGAUGCAGACUAUCCGCAGCAAGAGUGCGUUCGAGGAGAAACUUCGAAUUAAAGACGAGGAGCUGGAGUUGGGUAAGGGGGUCACUGCAGAAUGUGAGCAUUUGUAGGGUACGUUGAGGUCGAUGCAGUCGGGGAUGGAUCAGAACUUGGUCUAUGUCGAGGCGAUGAGCGUGGAGUGGAUGAGAAAAUUGACUGCGCUGGAGAGCAAAGUCGCUGAGUUGGAGAGCAUUAAAAGUUCCUGGUUUGAGGCUUCGGCGAGGGCGGCGACCUUAGAGAACACCAUCCGCAUCUUCCAAUCUGAACAGGAGUCGGAGAGAGCGACAACUACCUUCAUAGAGGCAAGGCUCGAGGAGCGCAUGGCGUGAUCGAUCAAGAGGCAUCGGUUCAGGGAGAUCGGUCGUGGCUCUGGAGGCAAAGAAUGAGCGAUUAUUAGCUCAGGUUGAGUCUUCCUCCACUGCUGUCCGCCGCCAUAUGCCCGAGCUCUAGGUUUAUGCCAAAGCCCAGCGGGAUAUAUAUAAGAGUUUGUGGGAGGCGGGUACCGUGACUGAGGCUACUUAUGAAGAAGCGCGAGCGAAAGCGCGGGAGGCUCGCAUCAAUUAUGGGUAUAAUGCGACGACGCCUGAAGCUAAUGGGGGUGCAGAUAAUGGUAAUAGAAAGCUUCUUGGAGACGGUGAUGGUGAUGGUGCUGGCGAUGGCGGUGAUGUCGCCGAAUGAAGAAUGUUGUCCUUGUCUGUUUUUAUUUUCAGUUGUUUGUCGAUUGUCGUUCAUUUUUUUUAUAGUUUGCUUGGGCCAUAUGUAAGCGGCGAUAGCCCGCACAAUGACUUUCUAUAAAAGAGAGUCUUUUCUUUG